rnacentral:rRNA from 1 species
UACGUAGGGUGCAAGCGUUGUCCGGAAUUAUUGGGCGUAAAGGGCUCGUAGGCGGUCUGUCACGUCGGGAGUGAAAACUCGAGGCUCAACCUCGAGACGUCGGCGGAAACCAUCUGGCUAGAGUCCGGAAGAGGAGAGUGGAAUUCCUGGUGUAGCGGUGAAAUGCGCAGAUAUCAGGAAGAACACCCGUGGCGAAGGCGGCUCUCUGGGACGGUACUGACGCUGAGACGCGAAAGCGUGGGGAGCGAACAGG